UUUUUUAAGAGAAAUUUAUCUCUAAUUAUAUAUAGGGUUAUUUUAGGAAUAAUAGUGGGUGGAAAAAUAACAUUUUAAUUUUUUAACUUUUUAUAAUGGGUGUAAAUAUAACGUGGGUGGGGAAAUAAGACAAUAGGGUGGGUUUAGCAACUCUAAAAAAUCAGAUUAUUAUUAUGACAAAUAAUAAUGGGUAAAUUAUACAAAACUACCUCAACUAUUGGGUCAAUCACAGUUUCAUACCCCAUAUUUAAAACAUUUCAAUGUCAUACGCUAUCUUCGAAUUUGUUGCAAUGUCAUAUAUUCCGUCAGUUUGUCUGUCAAACUUUCUGUUAAGUGCUGACGUGGCUU
rnacentral:lncRNA from 1 species